AGAGCGAACGCUGGCGGCAUGCUUAACACAUGCAAGUCUCACGGGCAGCAAUGUCAGUGGCGGACGGGUGAGUAACGCGUAGGUAUCUAUCCUUGGGUGGGGGAUAACGUUGGGAAACUGACGCUAAUACCGCAUGACACCUGUGGGUCAAAGGCGCGAGUCGCCUGGGGAGGAGCCUGCGUACGAUUAGCUUGUUGGUGGGGUAAAGGCCUACCAAGGCUACGAUCGUUAGCUGGUCUGAGAGGAUGAUCAGCCACACUGGGACUGAGACACGGCCCAGACUCCUACGGGAGGCAGCAGUGGGGAAUAUUGGACAAUGGGCGAAAGCCUGAUCCAGCAAUGCCGCGUGUGUGAAGAAGGUCUUCGGAUUGUAAAGCACUUUCGGCGGGACGAUGAUGACGGUACCCGCAGAAGAGCCCGGCUAACUUCGUGCCAGCAGCCGC
rnacentral:rRNA from 1 species